GGCGGCUUGCCGUUAAACCCCUAUAUUUCUAGUGGUUGACCUCGGAUUAGGUAGGAAUACCCGCUGAACUUAAGCAUAUCAAUAAGCGGAGGAAAAGAAACCAACAGGGAUUGCCCUAGUAACGGCGAGUGAAGCGGCAACAGCUCAAAUUUGAAAUCUGGCCCUAGCGGUCCGAGUUGUAAUUUGUAGAGGAUGCUUUUGGUUAGGUGCCUUCUGAGUUCCCUGGAACGGGACGCCAGAGAGGGUGAGAGCCCCGUACGGUUGGACACCGAGCCUCUAUAUAGCUCCUUCGACGAGUCGAGUAGUUUGGGAAUGCUGCUCUAAAUGGGAGGUAAAUUUCUUCUAAAGCUAAAUACCGGCCAGAGACCGAUAGCGCACAAGUAGAGUGAUCGAAAGAUGAAAAGUACUUUGAAAAGAGGGUUAAAUAGCACGUGAAAUUGUUGAAAGGGAAGCGUUUGCGACCAGACUUUUUCCAGGCGGAUCAUCCGGUGUUCUCACCGGUGCACUUCGCCUGGUUUAGGCCAGCAUCGGUUCUCUUAGGGGGAUAAAGGCCUGGGGAACGUAGCUCCUUCGGGAGUGUUAUAGCCCCUAGCGUAAUACCCUUCGGGGGACCGAGGAACGCG
rnacentral:rRNA from 1 species